rnacentral:rRNA from 1 species
UACGGAGGGGGCGAGCGUUGUUCGGAAUUACUGGGCGUAAAGGGUUUGUAGGUGGCUUGCUAAGUCCGCCGUGAAAUCCCUCAGCUUAACUGGGGAACUGCGUCUGAUACUGGCGGGCUUGAGGACAGGAGAGGAACGCGGAAUUCCAGGUGUAGCGGUGAAAUGCGUAGAUAUCUGGAGGAACACCGGUGGCGAAGGCGGCGUUCUGGACUGUUUCUGACACUGAAAAACGAAAGCCAGGGGAGCAAACGGG